rnacentral:lncRNA from 1 species
AUCCGUCUGAUCGUUUGUCUUUCAGCUGUGACUAACAAAUACAUCCUGGUGCAGAACUUCAAGACCUGGUCUAAUGCUCAGUCUUACUGCAGACAGAGGUACACAGACCUGAGCACCAUCAACGACUGGUCGGACAACAACCAGAUAGCUUUCAUUUUGCCAACUACUGUUCAUGCCUGGAUUGGACUGUACAGAAAUUACUGGACGUGGUCAAACUCAAGCACAGCCUCCAACCUGCCAUGGGGGCUCAGGCAGCCUAAUAACAGCGUAAACUGUGCCACAAUAGUUGGAUCAACGGGCUCCUUCAACAGUCAUAACUGUGAUGACCAACGCCCCUUCCUCUGCUCCACAGAUGUCAAACCUUCAGCCUCGAGGUCAGUGAAGGUUCAGCUGAGGGCGGGAUCUGCAGACCUGAACGACCCCACAGUGCAAGAAUCCAUCCUGCAGCAGGUGAGGGAGAAGCUGGUGGAGCAAGGGAUCAGAGAGGAGGUGAACCUGAGGUGGAAGACGCAGCCUGAUGGGAAGAUUUUCCACAGAGAGGAGGAGACAGCCGGUUACUGUGAGAAGGAAGACUGUGGGUCGGUUUAGUCUGAACGUUACUGGCUGAUGUUCCUCAGAUGAUCUGUUGUGUAAUUCAACUUAUUUCCAUCUCUGUACUCUGACUGCUGGACUGUAAUAGCGUAGCUUUGAAUGACUGACAGUUGGAAAUAAUCCUUAUUUAUCCUAAGCUCAGAUCAAAGAGUGUCUGAUGAGCUGUUUUAUGCCUCUUUGUUUCUUCUGAUUGGUGGGCUGCAAAGUUUGCAGGUGAGCAGGUGAGCGGACCUUCUGUGUCUCAGAUAUAAAUGUUAAUGAUAUCCUGUCUCUACAUAUGAAAGUUCAAGAGGAGAAAAAAGUGAAAUUGAGUGUUCAGAGCAGUCUGAUGUCUGAGCUUUUUGACUUCAUACAUUAUAUUUCAAAUGAGCACCCAGCAAUAUAACAGUAGAUAUGCCGUAUAUGUCAGUGAAUCGCGCAUUUAUGCUCUCUAUUAUGAUAUUAAAUAUACAUUUUUCUGUAAAAGUCUCAGAAAUGUCUCUGCUGCUGUUUGAUUCUGUAAACUACAGUGAUGGCUCUGCAUCCAUCUUCAUUGUAAACUCUAUUCAAUAAAG